rnacentral:lncRNA from 1 species
UUCUGUUUGCAGGUGAGCAUGGCCUCGAAGGGGCCCCCAGCCUAUCCAGGGCUCCCGUUCCUGGGAGGCCCCAUGCUGCGCCCCGUGGACUAUGGGCCUCCGCCGACACCAACACUCUGCGGGCCCUUCAGGCCUCGGCCGAUGCCUCUGCAGCCACUGCUGACAUUCGUCCCACGCAUGGGCCCACCACUGGGCUUAAGAGAGCAUGCACCCAGCAUCCUGCCUGGACGCUGCGACCUGCUGCUGCACCCCCGCGAGUUCUUGCCGGCACCUGUGCCAUUCAGGCCUCCAGGCCCGCUCGGCCCCCGAGAGUACUUCAUUCCUGCUCCUCGAAUGCCACCACAGCCCACCGGGCCCCAGGACUACCCACCACCGCCUGGAGCCCCUGCUCUGGGAGCCCAGAGAGGCCCUAGCCUCACCGCAAAGCAGCCAGGAACCUGCCCAAGCUCUGAGGCAGAGCGCAUAAUGGCCCCACUAAUCAGAGGGCCAAGGUUUAUAUUGGUUUUUGAAGGUUUUCCAUACUCAUCACUAAGAAAAGGUAUGCAGGUUUGAAGUUUCACAAUCACUUGUCAGAUAAACA